rnacentral:rRNA from 1 species
CCUACGGGAGGCAGCAGUGGGGAAUAUUGGACAAUGGGGGCAACCCUGAUCCAGCCAUGCCGCGUGUGUGAAGAAGGCCCUCGGGUUGUAAAGCACUUUCAGUGAGGAAGAACGCCUGGUGGUUAAUACCCAUCAGGAAAGACAUCACUCACAGAAGAAGCACCGGCUAACUCCGUGCCAGCAGCCGCGGUAAUACGGAGGGUGCGAGCGUUAAUCGGAAUUACUGGGCGUAAAGCGCGCGUAGGUGGCUUGAUAAGCCGGUUGUGAAAGCCCGGGCUCAACCUGGGAACGGCAUCCGGAACUGUCAAGCUAGAGUGCAGGAGAGGAAGGUAGAAUUCCCGGUGUAGCGGUGAAAUGCGUAGAGAUCGGGAGGAAUACCAGUGGCGAAGGCGGCCUUCUGGACUGACACUGACACUGAGGUGCGAAAGCGUGGGUAGCAAACAGGAUUAGAUACCCUGGUAGUC